rnacentral:rRNA from 1 species
AGCGAACGCUGGCGGCAGGCUUAACACAUGCAAGUCGAGCGGACCUUUCGGGGUCAGCGGCGGACGGGUGAGUAACGCGUGGGAACGUGCCUUCCGGUUCGGAAUAACCCUGGGAAACUAGGGCUAAUACCGGAUACGCCCUUAUGGGGAAAGGUUUACUGCCGGAAGAUCGGCCCGCGUCUUAUUAGCUAGUUGGUGGGGUAACGGCCUACCAAGGCGACGAUCAGUAGCUGGUCUGAGAGGAUGAUCAGCCACACUGGGACUGAGACACGGCCCAGACUCCUACGGGAGGCAGCAGUGGGGAAUAUUGGACAAUGGGCGCAAGCCUGAUCCAGCCAUGCCGCGUGAGUGAUGAAGGCCUUAGGGUUGUAAAGCUCUUUUAUCCGGGACGAUAAUGACGGUACCGGAGGAAUAAGCCCCGGCUAACUUCGUG